CCUUCUUUCCGGUUGUUGCAACCAGAUGGUGAUCCCUGGAGCCAGAUGCCACCGCCGACGGAUACUACUACGUGGAGACCACCGAUGACCAGGAGUAGUUAGGAGGUCCCAGGCAGGAGGCCUUGCCUCUUCGAUUGUUGAUGUUUGUGCUAGCCUUCUUAAGGCAAAACUUGUUUAACUUAUGUCUGUACUCAGAUAUUAUUUCUUCCGCUGAAUCACUUAUGUAUUGAGCUUAUGCAUUCGAGCCCUCGAGGCCCCUGGCUUGUAAUAUGUAGCUUAUAUUAUUUUAAUUUGUGUCCAGAGUUGUGUUGUGAUAUCUUCCCGCGAGUCCCUGAUCUUGAUCAUACACAUUUGCAUGUAUGAUUAGUGUACGGUCGAAUCGGGGGCGUCACACGUCGACAUCAUUAUUCAUUAGUUGCCAUUGCAUUAAUAGCCUCGAGCCUGUUGCAUAUCUCACCCAUGGGGACUAACGAGUUUAGAAUUGUCACGCUCUUUGUGCACCUUAGUGAUACGCUCACUCCACAUAGCUAUUUAGCAUGCAAUAGUUAUCUUGCUAUCAUCAUUUUUCCAGAAGUCCCUCCCGUGCAUACCUUAGAUACUUGUCUUAUAUAUUGGCUAGCGCAUCAUGUACUUUGGCAUAGCAAAAAAAAGAGCAAAAAUCUUUUAAGAAAAAGAAGAGAAACAAAGAGCAUGUAAGCAAUAACAUUGAGCCAUUUUGCAUAGUACAUCAUAUUGGAUCAUACACACAUGACAUAUUUGGGAUUGAAGAUAGUACAUUACUCUAAUAGGUUGGUGCACAAGCGUAUCUUGCCCAUCUGAGCAAUCGAGCUAUUAUUUCUCAAGGAUCUGUGCAACAUGAGCAUUUUCCGUGGUCUCACAUUUUGUGCUCAUUCCUUGGUUGUGCGGAUCCCACUUAUCUUCUUUGUGUGUGUUCCAUGUGAUAUCCUAGGGUUUUGAUUUAUUUGUCUUACCUGCAAUUUGUGAAUCUCUUCAACAUUAUCAAUAUCUUGGCUAACACUUGCUUGAAUUUUGUGCCAGUCAUCCCAACCAAGCUCCUCGACAUGCCUUUACUUUUGUAGGUGUGAGAAACAAACCCGGCCAAGCACUUCGGCAAACCCACUCUUUGAGGAUCAAGAUGAAGAGCACGACUACAUCACCAAAAGUCAUCUCUUCGGCAUUCAAUAAGCUCUGCAUCAAGAAAGUGAAGCUUUGGGAGACCGCAUCGAGCAACUCGCCAUCGACCUAUGCCAAUCGGAAGCAAGAAACCGGGACUAUCUUGACACCAAGCUAUCCACACAAAUGGAAGAAUUUCGUCACAUGAUGGUCACCCGCGCGUCAUCCACAUCAUCUUCAUCAAGACGGCACCACUCGAGUUAGCACUCUUCCGACUCCUCUUCCGACACAAGUUUUCCAUGAGCUCGUUUGCAUCGCUGCGACGACCAUCAAAAUCCAUUUCAUGGCAAAGGGUUGCAAGACCAACUUCAAGAGCGUGAACAACAUCAUCGCCAAGAACAAGAUGCCAUGGACCAAGAGCAAGCUCAACAACCCCAAUGCCAAGAACCAAAGACGAUGACACACUGCAGCAAGAGCAACAACGCCGCGUGGAACAAGCGCUUGAAGCACAAUGUGCACUUCGAGAAGCCACUCGCACCGUCGAAGAGUGCAACCGCCGGGUGCGUGAACAAGGAGUAUGACAACACUACAAAAAAUACAUUUCCGUGAUGAUACGUGUUUGUCACAGUAGAUCACGUUUUCUGUCAUGCAUGUACAUCCAUGACGAUUUUAUGACAGAAUCAUGAUAGUCA